UGGGGAAUUUUGGACAAUGGACGCAAGUCUGAUCCAGCCAUGCCGCGUGCGGGAAGAAGGCCUUCGGGUUGUAAAGCUCUUUUGUCAGGGAAGAAACGGUUCUGGAUAAUACCUAGAGCUAAUGACGGUACCUGAAGAAUAAGCACCGGCUAACUACGUGCCAGCAGCCGCGGUAAUACGUAGGGUGCAAGCGUUAAUCGGAAUUACUGGGCGUAAAGCGUGCGCAGGCGGUUAUGCAAGACAGAGGUGAAAUCCCCGGGCUCAACCUGGGAACUGCCUUUGUGACUGCAUAGAGAGAGUACGGUAGAGGGGGAUGGAAUUCCGCGUGUAGCAGUGAAAUGCGUAGAUAUGCGGAGGGACACCGAUGGAGAAGGCAAUCCCCGGAACCUGUACUGACGCUCAUGCACGAAAGCGUAGGGAGCAAACA
rnacentral:rRNA from 1 species